GGUAACAUUUGAAAUUUACUUUUUUACCUUAUGUUUUAAUUGAAAUUUUGGUUUAUUUAAUUUAUUUAUCUAGUUUUUAAUUUAUUGUUAUUUACGGUUUGUGAUUAAAAUGCCUCAAGAUCUGCACAUUCAAGAGAUCCAAGCGCAGUUGAUGGAAUGUCGUGAGGAGAUAAAAAUUUACAAGCGAAAUGAAAAACAAAUGGAAUUCAUUACAAGGGAAAAUCGACAACUGCAGAAUGAAAAGCUUUAUUUAAGAGAAACUUUACAAAGGACCAUCGAAAAGAUGAGCUGUCUGGAGGAAGAUGUCAAUCAAAUGAGGAGUCACCUGUAUGCUGCUCGAUUAACCGAAGAAUCUGCUGAAAAUGACAUUAAAAAGUUAUACUCAACCAUUGAAGAGUUGCGUAAAGAAAAUGUCGCCCUUAAAGGUGCUAUUGAAGAUCUCAUAAUUACCAAAAAAGAGUUGGAAUCACAAGCAUUAGAACAGAAAAAAGAGUCAGACUUGGCCGAGGAAUUGGCCAACACUAGGAGACAAGCAUUGGAGCAACAAAUUGAAGCCCUUAAAAAAGUUAAUUGUAAACUACAGGAAUCGCGUGGAGGCCUCUAAUCACAUUAAAUCACACAAUCUUGCAUCAUCAGUACUGUUGCCUUCAUCACCACAUCACCACCAUCAUCAGCUGCAUCAACAUGAUCCACCAUACAUGACGUGAAUGCCAUCACUGUCUCCAUCUCAUCUCAUUCCCAUCAUAAUCAUCAUCAUAAUCGUUUGCCAUCUUAAAUCAUUCGAGACUAUUCGAGAAUACUCAUUGAAACAUUGAUUCAUCGUAAUAAUAUGCGUGAACUUCAGGAUAAGCUUCAUCUCAUCUCACCCUGUUUUUGCUCAUCUUUAUACACGUAUUUAAACAAACGAUGAUAAUUUACUGAAUUAAUUUGAAGGGCAAUUGGAUUUGAUAAAGAUAAAGCAGAAUAAAGUAAAGAGUGGAGAAUAAAUAACUUGACAUAAAACAAUUAAUACCUUUAAAUGGUUUACUAUUAUGAGAUGUUCUUGAUGCAUUUUAACCAUUCUUGUUGGUCAGGUUUUCAUGUGAUGGAUUACUUGACUCAAAGUGUAACCUAGAAGUGGAUAAAAAACUGAAUGUUGAACAACAAGUUACAAGCAAAAAGCAAAAGGUAGAAUGUUUAAACAUUUUACAAUCUAAUUGAAAAAAAACACAAAAAUCUAUUCAUGGUUAAAUCAUUUUAUUAGCUUGAAACUUUAACCGUUCAAACGCAUCUGCAAUUGAUUUACCUUUAUUUUAUUAUUUGUUUGAACCUCCAAAAGUUAUCAACAAUGUUAAUAUUUUUUUACCUGUUAACAAAUGAGGAACCAAAUCAAAUUGUUGAAAAGUCAAUCAAAAGUAAUAGCAACACGAAAAAAGAGCUAAAUUGUAACGUUGUUGUUGUUAAACAAAAGGAAUGGCUUUUUUUCAAUUUAAAUAUUUUUACAAUCAAAAUGAAACUGCGUCAAAACCAUUUAAUUGAUAAUUUGUGAUCAAAUUAAUUCAAUUGAGGUUAAACUGAUGCUAAAAUGAAAAUUGAAUUUAACGUUUUUUCAAUACACUUUUUCACCUGAACUUGAUUUUUAAAGUCAUUUCAAGUGGGGUAACAAAAAAUACCAAUGUAAUCAUAUAUUCUUUGGCCUUUCAAUCAACUCAAUUUAUCACGACUCUGAUUUACUUUUAACUCAACAGAGCAACAAUUAAAAGCAAAUGAUUUUUUUUUCUUCAAAUUUAUUGGUUAAUUAAAAGCGCAAGCAGAAACAAAAAUCAAAUCAAA